rnacentral:rRNA from 1 species
AAUCAACGCUGGCGGCAUGCCUAACACAUGCAAGUCGAACGGGAAAGUGGGAGCAAUCCCAUGAGUAUAGUGGCGCACGGGUGAGUAACACGUGACUAACCUACCCUCGAGUGGGGAAUAACCCCGGGAAACCGGGGCUAACACCGCAUAAUACCGCAAGGUCAAAUGCGCAAGCAGCUUGAGGAGGGGGUCGCGGUUGAUUAGCUAGUUGGUAGGGUAAUGGCCUACCAAGGCAGNGAUCAAUAGCCGGCCUGAGAGGGCGCACGGCCACACUGGAACUGAAACACGGUUCAGACUCCUACGGGAGGCAGCAGUGGGGAAUUUUGCGCAAUGGGGGAAACCCUGACGCAGCAACGCCGCGUGGAGGAUGAAGUCCCUUGGGACGUAAACUCCUUUCGACCGGGACGAUUAUGACGGUACCGGUGGAAGAAGCCCCGGCUAACUUCGUGCCAGCAGCCGCCGCCGUAAC